UAUGGCUUAUUAGAUCGUGCGUUCCACUUAGAGAACUGUGGUAAUUCUAGAGCUAAUACAUGCAACUGGCCCUAACUUUACGGAGGGGCGCUUUUAUUAGAUCAAAAUCAAUCAGGUUUCGGCCUGUUUUUGUGAUGACUCUGGAUAACUUUGUGCCGACCGCAUGGCCUUGCGCCGGCGGCGUAUCUUUCAAAUGUCUGCCCUAUCAACUUUCGAUGGUAGGUGACAUGCCUACCAUGGUUGUAACGGGUAACGGAGAAUCAGGGUUCGAUUCCGGAGAGGGAGCCUGAGAAACGGCUACCACA
rnacentral:rRNA from 1 species